rnacentral:rRNA from 1 species
CCUACGGGGUGCAGCAGUGGGGAAUAUUGGACAAUGGGCGAAAGCCUGAUCCAGCCAUGCCGCGUGUGUGAAGAAGGCCUUCGGGUUGUAAAGCACUUUCAGUGGGGAAGAAAGCCUUGGGGCUAAUACCCUCGAGGAAGGACAUCACCCACAGAAGAAGCACCGGCUAACUCCGUGCCAGCAGCCGCGGUAAUACGGAGGGUGCGAGCGUUAAUCGGAAUUACUGGGCGUAAAGCGCGCGUAGGCGGUCUGAUAAGCCGGUUGUGAAAGCCCUGGGCUCAACCUGGGAACGGCAUCCGGAACUGUCAGGCUAGAGUGCAGGAGAGGAAGGUAGAAUUCCCGGUGUAGCGGUGAAAUGCGUAGAGAUCGGGAGGAAUACCAGUGGCGAAGGCGGCCUUCUGGACUGACACUGACGCUGAGGUGCGAAAGCGUGGGUAGCAAACAGGAUUAGAUACCCGGGUAGUC